rnacentral:rRNA from 1 species
UGUGAUUCCCUUAGUAACUGCGAGUGAAGCGGGAAAAGCCCAUCGUUUAAUCUUCCCGGACUAUGGACGGGACGACAUGUAACGGUAUGGAUAGGUUCUCUACCAACAUUGACUGGUCAAAGUCCUCCGGAUUGAGGUGCCAGAGAGGGUGACAGCCCCGUGUGUGAUUGGGCAGUGUUGGGUAUGUGACCGAUUCCGAGAGUCGGGUUGUUUGGGACUGCAACCUAAAGUAGGUGGUAAACUCCACCCAAGGCUAAAUAUUGACACGAAACCGAUAGCGAACAAGUACUGUGAAGGAAAGUUGAAAAGAACUCUGAAAAGAGAGUUAAAAGUACGUGAAACCGCUAACGGGGAAGCGGAAGGCAGUGUCGAGAUUGAGUAAGUGAGUCAUUGCAAGUGUGCUUUGUGGUGUCGCAAGGCGGUGUCCAAUGUGCAUUUAAAGUGGCUAGCUUUGCUCGAUGCGUCAGGACUAUUGGUGUGCGACGGUUCAAUUGCUGGCAUGGCUUCUACGACGCCUGGACUUUACAGAGUCCAGGUUCGUGGUUGCGGCUGGUGAUCCGCCUCGUGUGCUGAUAUGUAUGUGAUGGAGCGUUGGUGAUGUAUGGUCGGUUGGUGAGUUGCGGUGCUUGACACUGGUCACAGUGUGACUACGUGUGGAGAAGUCGUAGCUUAGUUCAACAACCAAUGCUAGCUCCUGACGUGAUACCUAACUUUC